UAUUGCUCAAAUACAAAAAAGAUAGACGUUUCAGUUUGCCAUUUGUUUGAAUGGCAAAUUGAAACGUCAAUCUUUUUUGUAUUUGAGCAAUA
rnacentral:miRNA from 1 species